GGCUGGAUCGUCAAGUGGUAUGAUGCUUCCUUCGGGAAUUCCGCUCCCGGUUGUUAGCAAUAAUGACUCUUGUAAUGGAAGAGGUCCCGGGUUCGAAUCCCGGUUCGGCCC